ACGCCACCAUGUCCUGCCAUGAUGAUAGUGGACUAAACCUCUGAAACUGUUUCCCCUCGGUUGACAGACACAACCAAGCAUCAAUUGCUGACUACCAAAUGACUAUGGACCCUGGACUUGCUAAAAACUGAUAUGGACCAGUCUAGCCAAUGUGAAUGCUCCCUGGCUCUUCAACAGAGUUCACAAACCAGAUGCUCCUGAUAAACACCCCAUUGCCUGAAUUUCCUCUUUGUUUCUGACUAGCAUUUCACCUGUUAGCUCUUGACAAAGCUGGAAGCAGUUAAAAGAAUAUAUUGUCCUAUAAUCCCUUUUUGAGAUGCUAAAUCAAAAGAAAACUCUUACAUAGGAAGACUCUACAGUUUUAGGAGAGAAAUUCUGUUUUUACACUAACCAUUCAGGAACUGUAAGAGGCAAUUUGGCCAAAGUUAGAGAAGGAUCGACGAAGCAGAAAAAAGAAUUAGACUUUUUACAAUGAUGGUUUGAAUCCUGGUUUAAUGGCUCUCCUUGGUUAACUACCCAUAUUUUUGCUAUUAUGGAACCCUUAUUGGUUUUGUUGCUUAUUUUGACUGUUGGCCCACGUAUAAUCGACAGACUGGCACACUUUGUAAAAUAAAGGCUUAAUACCAUUCAGCUUUUGGUUAAGCAUA